UACGGAGGGUGCGAGCGUUGUCCGGAAUCAUUGGGCGUAAAGGGCGCGUAGGUGGCCCGGUCAGUUCGUGGUGAAAGCGCGGGGCUCAACCCUGCGUCGGCCAUGAAUACUGCCGCGGCUGGAGCACUGUAGAGGCAGGCGGAAUUCCGGGUGUAGCGGUGGAAUGCGUAGAGAUCCGGAAGAACACCGGUGGCGAAGGCGGCCUGCUGGGCUACAACUGACGCUGAUGCACGAAAGCGUGGGGAGCAAACAGG
rnacentral:rRNA from 1 species